rnacentral:lncRNA from 1 species
UGCAGCCAUUGUCUCCCAGGCCCUUCUCAACCCUUUCCAACUGGGCAUUAGUCCGCAGCACUCCCAGGGAUAACCAGUGAAAUUCAUCAUAGUCCUUCAAAUCUGCCAAAUCAAAUGCUCAAUUCUCUAUUCUUAUCUGGCUUUAUCUUGCUGGAGCAUGCAACAAGUUGCCCAUUAGCUCCUUUUUGAAACACUCUGUCCUGGCUUCCAUGACACACCAACUCUUGCUGGACCUCCAAAUGUUCAAAGACCCCAGGGCUGGGUCCUAGAUCCUCCAUUCUCUGCAUUUUCUUCCUGGGCAAUGUCAUUUAAUCCCACACCUCCAAACACUACUUACAACUGGUGAUUUCUGAAUUUAUGUGUCUAGCCCUGACCUCUCCUCUGAGCUCCAGACUCAGAUCCCGUGGCUUAGUAAAUAUCUCCAUUUGCAUCUCUGAGGGGCAUCUCUAGUCAUGCCCCUCCUAUCUCCCUGACCCAUUCUCUCUCACUUAAACUGACACAGUAACCUCUCAGCUUUUCCUGUCCAGCAGCCAGAGGAUCUUUUUAUGGUAUAAAUCUAAUAAUAGCGCCAGCUUAAAACCUUCCAAUGCCUUUUCAUUGAACUUGGAACAAAAUACAAACGGCAUAGAGACUUGGUUCCCCUCCAGCCCAGCCUUUUACUGCUGUCUCUUGCCCUCACUGAGGUUAUGCAGGCCUCGGGCUUCUUGUUCCUGGACCCAGCUCUGUAAAUAACCAUAAAAAUGGGCAACCAGCCGCCCUCAGGGCUGCUCUGUCUAUGGAGUAGCAGUUCUUUUAUUUCUCUACUUUCUUAAUAACCAUGCUUUCACUUUAGGGACUUGCCCUGAAUUCUUUCUUGCAGGAGAUCCAAGAACCCUCUCUUGAAGUUGGGGACCCCUUUCCUGUAACACUUGCAAAUCUCUUUCAAUUGCUUGUAAAGGACAGUAGAAAGCUGUGUGGGCCGUAGCAGCUGCUGGCCACAGGGUGCUUUUGAGCACUUGAAAUGUGGCCCGUCAGACUGAGGAACUAAAUUUUAAAUUUUAUUUAAUUUUAAUUUAUUUAAAUGUGAACUUAAAAACUGAAGCCUGAUUCAGUUAUUGGAAAAUUCUUAAGUAGGUUUGGAACAACUUAGAUCUGUGCAUGGAACUCUUUCAAAUGUAAUGGUCUGGAAUCUAAGUAAGGAUCAACUUUUCUCAGUGAAACUUCAGUGCCCCAUUGAGAUGUGCUGUGAAACACACACCGAACUUCCAAGGCUGAGUGAAAGUGAAGGAAUAUGAAAUAGCUCAUUAAUCAUUUUAAAUGUUGAAUGUAUGUUAAUAUAUGUAAAUAUGUUGAUAUAAUAAAUUGAUAAUACUUAGGAUACACUGAGUUAGAGAAAAUAUAUUGUUCAAAUUAAUUUCACCUGUCUCUCUUUACUUGGGAUGUGGUUAGGGAAAGGGUUUAAAUAACAUAUAUAUCUCAAAUUUUAUUUUUAUUGAGUGGCUGUGAUAGUUGAGUGUCAACUUGAUUGCAUUGAAGGAUGCAAAAUAUUGAUCCUGGGUGUGUCUGUGAGGGUGUUUGCAAAGGAGAUUAACAUUUGAGUCAGUGGACUGGGAGAGGCAGACCCACCCUCAGUCUGGGUGGGCACCAUCUCAUCAGCUGCCAGUGUGGCCAGAAUAAAAGCAGGCAGGAAAACUUGGAAAGACUAGACUGGUUUAGUCUUCUGGCCUCCAUCUUUCUCCCAUGCUGGAUGCUUCCUGCCCUCCAAUAUCGGACUCCAAGUUCUAUAGCUUUGGGACUUGAACUGGCUUCCUUGCUCCUCAGCUUGCAGAUGGCCUACUGUGGGACCUCACCUUGUGAUGGUGUGAGUCAGUACUCCUUAAUAAACUGCCUUUUAUAUGUACAUCUAUCCUAUUCAUUCUGUCCCUCUAGAGAACCCUGACUAAUACAGUGGCACUGGGAUACUGGAGACUAAUAUGUACCUCAUCUAUCAAUAAAUCACAUAACUAGUUGUUUUGUUUCUUCUGCUAGGAGAAUACUAUUUCUUUGGUUCAGUACCAGACUUGACCUGGGGCCCAUCUUGAAGAAAAAAAUAAAUGGCUUUAAAGAAUGGAACCCCACCCAGGGUGGCAAAAUGCCCACAAGAGACUCAGGAGGAUGGAGAGCAGCUGAGUGAACAGCAGGGCCAGGUCUUUUAACUCACUGCUGGGCUCCAGGAGCAGAGCUGUAUCUGACAUUAUCGUCUGCUCUGUGAAUUGUUCUUCUCUCUUUCCCUUCUUCCCUCUCUCUUUACUAAGUAUGUACAAUUAUACUUCUCUCUCCCCAUAGAUAGAUCUGGAAAAUGAUUUUCACCUGAGAGUUUUUGAAUGGUACAUGUUGGGGACAUUUCUCUUUGGAACAUUUCUAUAUUGCUUCAUUUUUAAAAUGAGCAUUUUGUUUUGCAAAAAAUAAUGGUUCUUGUAACAAAGUCUAGACAUUACAGAAAUAUAUAAAGUAGAAAAUGAACCUAAAGGCAGGAAUACCAGUUGACCUAGCAAUCCCAUUACUGGGUGUAUACCCAAAGAAAUAGAAGUCAUUCUACCAUAAAGGCACGUGUACUCGUAUGUUCAUCACAGCACUAUUCACAAUUGCAAAGACAUGGAAUCAACCUAAAUGCCUAUCAGUGAUAGACUGGAUAAAGAAUAUGUGGUACGUAUACACCAUGGAAUACUAUGCAGCCAUAAAAAGGAAUGAGAUUAUGUCCUUUGAAGGGACAUGGAUGGAGUUGGAAGCCAUUAUUCUCAGCAAACUAACACAGGAACAGAAAACCAAACACCACAUGUUCUCACUUAUAAGUGGGAGCUGAAUGAUGAGCACACAUGGACACAAAGGGGAACAACAGACACUGGGGCCUGUUGGGGGUGGGAUCGAGGGAGGGAGAGCAUCAGGAGGAACAGCUGAGGGAUGCUGGCUUAAUACCUAGGUGAUGGGAUGAUCUGUGCAGCAAACCACCAUGGCACACAUU